GUGGAUUAGAUACCCUGGUAGUCCAUGCCGUAAACGAUGUCAACUAGGUGUUGGGGAACUUGAUUCCUUAGUGCCGCAGCUAACGCAUUAAGUUGACCGCCUGGGGAGUACGGUCGCAAGACUAAAACUCAAAUGAAUUGACGGGGGCCCGCACAAGCGGUGGAGCAUGUGGUUUAAUUCGAUGCAACGCGAAGAACCUUACCUACUCUUGACAUCCAGAGAAUCCUGUAGAGAUACGGGAGUGCCUUCGGGAAUUCUGAGACAGGUGCUGCACGGUCGUCGUCAGCU
rnacentral:rRNA from 1 species